AUACUUACCUGGCAGGGAGUACCAGAUCAAGAGGUGGUUCACCCAGGGUGAGGCUUGGCCAUUGCACUCCGGUUGAGCUGACCUCUGCGAAUUCCCAAAUGUGGGAAUCUCGACUGCAUAAUUUUGGUAGGGGGACUGCGUUCGCGCUCUCCCGAU